GUGAGGUAACACGUGGGUAACGUACCUUUCGGUUCGGAAUAAUUCAGGGAAACUUGGACUAAUACCGGAUACGCCCGAGUUCUUUGACUAGGACUUGGGGAAAGAUUCAUCGCCGAUAGAUCGGCCCGCGUCUGAUUAGCUAGUUGGUGAGGUAAUGGCUCACCAAGGCGACGAUCAGUAGCUGGUCUGAGAGGAUGAUCAGCCACAUUGGGACUGAGACACGGCCCAAACUCCUACGGGAGGCAGCAGUGGGGAAUAUUGGACAAUGGGCGCAAGCCUGAUCCAGCCAUGCCGCGUGAGUGAUGAAGGCCUUANGGUUGUAAAGCUCUUUUGUCCGGGAAGAUAAUGACUGUACCGGAAGAAUAAGCCCCGGCUAACUUCGUGCCAGCAGCCGCGGUAAUACGAAGGGGGCUAGCGUUGCUCGGAAUCACUGGGCGU
rnacentral:rRNA from 1 species